rnacentral:rRNA from 1 species
CCAGGUUGAUUCUGCCUGACGUAGACGCUAUUCCCUAAGAUUAACCCAUGCAUGUUUUUGACAUUUGAAAAAUGGACUGCUCAGUAAUACUCACUUUAUUUUAUGUACAUUUGAAAUUAACUACGUUAAAGUGUAGAUAAGAUGUGUACAGUAAGAGUGAGACCUAUCAGCUAGUUGUUAAGGUAAUGGCUUAACAAGGCAGUGACGGGUAACGGUAUUACUUUGUAAUAUUCCGGAGAAGGAGCCUGAGAGACGGCUACUAAGUCUAAGGAUUGCAGCAGGGGCGAAACUUGACCUAUGGAUUUUAUCUGAGGCAGUUAUGGGAAGUAAUAUUAUAUUGUUUCAUAUUUUAAAAGUAUAUGAGGUGAUUAAUUGGAGGGCAAAUCAAGUGCCAGCAGCCGCGGUAAUACUUGUUCCAAGAGUGUGUAUGAUGAUUGAUGCAGUUAAAAAGUCCGUAGUUUAUUUUUAAGAAGCAAUAUGAGGUGUACUGUAUAGUUGGGAGAGAGAUGAAAUGUGACGACCCUGACUGGACGAACAGAAGCGAAAGCUGUACACUUGUAUGUAUUUUUUGAACAAGGACGUAAGCUGGAGGAGCGAAGAUGAUUAGAUACCAUUGUAGUUCCAGCAGUAAACUAUGCCGACGAUGUGAUAUGAAGUUAUUUGUAUUACAUAAUAGAAAUUAGAGUUUUUUGGCUCUGGGGAUAGUAUGAUCGCAAGAUUGAAAAUUAAAGAAAUUGACGGAAGAAUACCACAAGGAGUGGAUUGUGCGGCUUAAUUUGACUCAACGCGAGGUAACUUACCAAUAUUUUAUUAUUUUGAGAGGAUUUUUAAUCUGAGAAUGAUAAUAGUGGUGCAUGGCCGUUUUCAAUGGAUGCUGUGAAGUUUUGAUUAAUUUCAACAAGACGUGAGACCCUUUUAUAUAGACAGACACAAUCAGUGUAGGAAGGAAAGGAUUAAAACAGGUCCGUUAUGCCCUCAGACAUUUUGGGCUGCACGCGCAAUACAAUAGAUAUAUGAUCUUUAUGGGAUAAUAUUUUGUAAGAGAUAUUUGAACUUGGAAUUGCUAGUAAAUUUUAUUAAAUAAGUAGAAUUGAAUGUGUCCCUGUUCUUUGUACACAC